GAUCAGGUAGCUCAAUUGGUAGAACAUCCGGCUGGUGUUCGGAUGUCCUGGGUUCGAACCCCAGUCUGACCG